AGUGAACGCUGGCGGUAGGCCUAACACAUGCAAGUCGAACGGCAGCACAGAGGAGCUUGCUCCUUGGGUGGCGAGUGGCGGACGGGUGAGGAAUACAUCGGAAUCUACUCUGUCGUGGGGGAUAACGUAGGGAAACUUACGCUAAUACCGCAUACGACCUACGGGUGAAAGCAGGGGAUCUUCGGACCUUGCGCGAUUGAAUGAGCCGAUGUCGGAUUGGCUAGUUGGGGGGGUAAAGGCCCACCAAGGCGACGCUCCGUAGCUGGUCUGUGAGGAUGAGCAGCCACACUGGAACUGAGACACGGUCCAGAAUCCUACGGGAGGCAGCAGUGGGGAAUAUUGGACAAUGGGCGCAAGCCUGAUCCAGUCAUACCGCGUGGGUGAAGAAGGCCUUCGGGUUGUAAAGCCCUUUUGUUGGGAAAGAAGUCCAGCUGGCUAAUACCCGGUUGGGAUGACGGUACCCAAAGAAUAAGCACCGGCUAACUUCGUGCCAGCAGCCGCCGUAA
rnacentral:rRNA from 1 species